rnacentral:rRNA from 1 species
GGCGACCGGCGCACGGGUGAGUAACACGUAUGCAACCUGCCUACAACAGGGGGAUAACCCGUUGAAAGACGGACUAAUACCCCAUAAUACAGGGGUCCCGCAUGGGAAUAUUUGUUAAAGAUUAAUCGGUUGUAGAUGGGCAUGCGUUCCAUUAGCUAGUUGGUGAGGUAACGGCCCACCAAGGCAACGAUGGAUAGGGGAACUGAGAGGUUUAUCCCCCACACUGGUACUGAGACACGGACCAGACUCCUACGGGAGGCAGCAGUGAGGAAUAUUGGUCAAUGGACCCAAGUCUGAACCAGCCACGUCGCGUGAAGGAAGACGGCCCUACGGGUUGUAAACUUCUUUUGUAAGGGAAUAAAGUGUAGUACGUGUACUAUUUUGCAUGUACCUUACAAAUAAGGAUCGGCUAACUCCGUGCCAGCAGCCGUGGUAAUACGGAGGAUCCGAGCGUUAUCCGGAUUUAUUGGGUUUAAAGGGUGCGCAGGCGGGAGAUUAAUUCCGUGGUGAAAUUUUGCAGCUCAACUGUAAAAGUGCCUUCGAAACUGGUUUCCUUGAGUGU